GUAAGGAAUAUUGGACAAUGGCCGCAAGGCUGAUCCAGCCAUGCCGCGUGCAGGAUGAAGGUGCUCUGCAUUGUAAACUGCUUUUGUUUGGGAAUAAACUUCCGCACGUGUGCGGAACUGAAUGUACCAAAAGAAUAAGGGACGGCUAACUUCGUGCCAGCAGCCGCGGUAAUACGAAGGUCCCGAGCGUUAUCCGGAUUUAUUGGGUUUAAAGGGUGCGUAGGCGGGUUAUUAAGUCAGUGGUGAAAGCCUACAGCUUAACUGUAGAAUUGCCAUUGAUACUGAUGAUCUUGAGUAUGAUUGAGGUGGGCGGAAUGUGUCAUGUAGCGGUGAAAUGCUUAGAUAUGACACAGAACACCGAUUGCGAAGGCAGCUCACUAAGUCAUAACUGACGCUGAUGCACGAAAGCGUGGGGAGCAAACAGGAUUAGAAACCCUGGUAGUCC
rnacentral:rRNA from 1 species